GAGUUUGAUCUUGGCUCAGGAUGAACGCUGGCGGCGUGCUUAACACAUGCAAGUCGAACGAAGCGCCUUAUUUGAUUUUCUUCGGAACUGAAGAUUUGGUGACUGAGUGGCGGACGGGUGAGUAACGCGUGGGUAACCUGCCCUGUACAGGGGGAUAACAAUCAGAAAUGACUGCUAAUACCGCAUAAGACCACAGCACCGCAUGGUGCAGGGGUAAAAACUCCGGUGGUACAGGAUGGACCCGCGUCUGAUUAGCUGGUUGGUGAGGUAACGGCGUCACCAAGGCGACGAUCAGUAGCCGGCUUGAGAGAGUGAACGGCCACAUUGGGACUGAAACACGGCCCAAACUCCUACGGGAGGCAGCAGUGGGGAAUAUUGCACAAUGGGGGAAACCCUGAUGCAGCAACGCCGCGUGAGUGAAGAAGUAUUUCGGUAUGUAAAGCUCUAUCAGCAGGGAAGAAAGUGACGGUACCUGACUAAGAAGCCCCGGCUAACUACGUGCCAGCAGCCGCCGUAAC
rnacentral:rRNA from 1 species